UUAAGGAAACCGAGUAAUUUAUUAUCCAAAGAAAAUUGAAGAAUAAGCUCUCUUGCCAAGACAACUCUUCCGGUCUCUCUCCCCUCUACAUGCUACAGUUUAUAGUUCCUUCCUGUUUCCAUCCUUCUCUUCCAUUUGCUUCUCUACCUUUUCGGCUGAGCCUCAACACCGUCUCUGCAGUAGCUGAACCUUUUGGGCUCCACGUGCUAUGCACAUUUCGUCCUGAUUUACCAUAGAAGUGUUUGUAGCAGUUCGUCUUGUCGGCCUUUUCUUUUAAUGGCGGAAAGGGAGAGGAGGGAUUGAUGCGUGGCAAUGGAAAUGGAUUCUGCAAUGUGCACGGGGAUGUACUUCACCAUGUCCAUGUUGACUGCAUGUCAAGCAUCAUCGUUUCUGCAACAUUGCUUCAUUUCCUCUUAAUGUGUUCGGUACAUUUGUUUGCUCUUCAAUUUGCAGAACAUUGCAGGUACUCUAAUGGCUAGCAUGUCUGAGUCUUCACCUAGGAAAAUAGGAGGAGAACCAUGUUUUGGCGAGGUAGAGAUUGGGAAGAUAGGUAGUACUAUCAAAGGUGCUAGGUUGGAAGAACUUCGGCAUGAGUUCCAUAUUCCUGCAGCUUUUGGUCUUAGGAUUCCUCUCAAGGAUGAACAAGUUAAUAGUGUGCAAAAUGGGGAGAUAUGUGUGUUUGAGGAAUACCUUAAAGCCGGGUUGAGAUUUCCCAUCCAUCCUUUCAUUGAAGAGGUUUUUGAAGCAUUUGGUCUUUUGCCUUGUAGACUAACUCCCAACUCUUUUAGGCAUCUUAUAGGUUUUCUGGUAGUUUGUCGUGAAAAGAAAAUUCAGCCCUCGCUUAAUCUGUUCCGAGCUGCAUUCUCUGUUAACAAUGUCUUUGGAGACAAAUGGUUUUUAUAUUUUAUGCCUAGGAAUGGUUGCAAAUUAUUGUCUCAUAUGCCGCCAAAUAUUAAAAACUGGAAGGAUAAGUACUUCUUUGUUAGCUCAGAUUCAGGCUGGGGUUUCUCAACUCAAUGGACAAAUCAGUUCAAUAAGAUCACGAAUUCUGUGAUUCCCUUGUCUGGUGAAGAAGAAGGGGCUUUUGAGGUGCUUGCGCAGUGUGUGUUGGAUGCUAGAAAAAUUUUUGCUGAUAAGUACCUAAGACAAGCUGGUAUUAGUGGCGGUCACUCAGAUUCCACAUCAGAGGCUAGGAAGCUUGAGAAGCUUGUGCAGGUUCGUCAAACACAAAGGAAACGGCGAGUUGGGAUGGAGACUAAGGUGAAUCUAGCUGCAGCCAAGAGGAAUGGGUGCAAGAAGAUAGCUGGCCCUCAGAAGGCUUUAGCAAGUGAUGGUUUCAGUGAGCAGCUCUUGGCUCAGGUCAUCCAUAUUGCGCCAGAUUCCCCUUUUGACAUGGAACCUGAGACCGAUGAGCCCAUGCUGGAGGCUGCGGAAGUUUUAGUCAGCUCGCCAUUUUCCAUUCAGGAAAUCAAAGGGACACAUGAAGCUGCCCAAUCAUCAGGUAGUGAGCCAAGGGCAGAAUCUGAAACUCAUCCUAGUUCUGAGGAGACCACCCAUCGAGUGGAUGACUGCCCCGUAAUUUCUGCCAAUGGAGCUGGGACCACUACUAGGAGCAUGGCCUCAGAUGGACUUGAUUCUUUACCCUUCAUUCCUUUCACAGGGUUAUCAGACACUGAUACUAUUUGGGUGGAUCGCACUGGAGGUGAGGUGGCGAGAAAGCUUGUCCAAAGUAUGAUUCUUCCUUCAGACCGAAAGGAAGUAUCUAGCAUGUCGCCUACUGCUUCUGUUGAACUUAUGUGUAAAGGCAUAGUUCAGGCUGCCUUGGGAGCAUAUAAUACUAGUGAGAUGAUGAUGCGGGUUUUGAAUGACUGCAAGGAGUUAAGCAAGGACACAUCCCACUGCAAGGAAGAGAGUAGGAAGCUCCGAUCCAAAUACCUUGACACCAAACAACGUUUAAGUGAAGCCUCGAGCCAAAUUGAGGACUGGAAGAAAAAAUUUUUCGACUUGAGUGCUGAGGUUCGAGAGGUGAAGGACAAGGUCAAGAAGCAGAGAGCUGAGCUCUUGGCUUGUGAUACUGCACGUAGAAAGUUAGAAUCUGAUCUUUUGAGCAUACAGACCAUCCAUGAAGUCAAUCUUAAAGAGGCAAGAGAAAGAGCUGUAGCUGAAUUCAAGUCCUCUGCUGAAAUCAAGGAGAUGAUGAAGUCUGCUGUCAAGAGAGCCUCGGAGAACUUCAGUAAGAAUAAAGAGUUUGACUGCUAACUAGCAGAAUGUUCUCUCGGUGAUUGUGAAGACAGCUUGAGUAUAUUGGCUGCUGAGUUUCUUGACUCAAUUAGUAAAGUUACGGUUGCCACCAUCUCUUGGGAAGCUCCUGGGUUGGAACUGGCAGCCAAUGCUAGCAAUAGGCCAAAGUGACUAAAUCGGUGAGUGGGAAUACUUCAUCAACUGGUUUUUUAAGCCUGAGACAAGCCUUGUGACGUAUGCUAAUUACCAUGUCUCUUUCAGCUCAUUACAGGGAGGUACUGUAGAAGAUAUUGUCUUAUAGGUGAAAGGUGGAGAGAUACAAGUCAUGAGUUCCAAAACAAAGAAGAAGAUUUUGUAGAAGAGAAACAGUAAGUUCAUCAGUUUCUUAAUAUUCAAUCCUUUCCAAAAUAGUAUAAUUUUUUAUUUGUGAAUUCAAAGUCAUUUCUUGCCUCUUUUUUGUUCGAGUGAACUCGAACUGCUAGCAUCUGAAAACAACUAUUGUAACCUUCUAAUUCUGGGA